CUGAAACUUUAGCACUACUGCCCUUUUUCUCUUUUCAGCUACUGACCGCUACUGUUAAUGGAAUGGAAAUGCACGCACGGCAUCUAAUUUGGGUGGCCGGCGGUGGACGGGCUGGACCCAAUUGUCUGCUGGUGUGCUGCGAGCGGCGACGCGCCGGGGUGGUGGUCGACCGAGGAAGAGUUGGCCUCGGCCAUGUCGAGCUCGACCUCCUUGUGCCGGAGCAUGAGCAGCAAGCGUCGGCUCUGGAUCCGGAGGCGGUCAUUCUGCAGGCGCGCGCGUUCCAUGUCGCGCUCUUUGUUGGCGCGGAACCGAUCCCAUUUCAGCCGCUGCCGCUCCAGGUCGUACGCGUGGGAUUCGAGGAGGAUCUGCUGCUCCUCCACCUCCACCGCGCGGCGUCGCACCCAGCACCUGGCCUGCUGCGGGUCCAUCGCCGCGGCAGCCGCGGCCGCGAGCUCGCUCUUCAACUGCUGCAGCAUUGCCGAUGGGUCGGGUGCCGCCCCCGUCCUCGCGCGUUUCCCACCGCCGGCCGCCUCGUCCUCGAGGUCCUCGGCCGCGGCGCUAUCCUCGCCAUGCUCGCGCUUGCCGCGCCGGCGGCCGCCGCCGCUGUGCUGACGACUGGUGAGGUGGCUGUGGUACAUGUGACCGUCGUCCUCCUCGUCGUAGUCGUCCUCGUCCUCCUCGCCGUUGUCGCUCACGGCGUCGCUGUCGUCUUCAUCGUCCGCGACGUCGGCGGAGGAGUCCUUCAUGCACGGCGGGGACGGGGCUGCCUGGUAGUGGCGAGCGGCGGACGAGGCUGCGCCGGCCACGGGCACCGGCGGCGGGUGGUGGAGGCAGGCGGCGUCGCCCGCCGCGCCGCCGCCGGCGUGCGGCGGCAGGUGCGAGCCCCCGGCAACGCCGCUGUUGUGGUAGGCGCACAUCUCGCGGAAGAAGAGGUGCUUGGAGCUGAGUAGCUUGCGCGCCUCGUCCUUGGCCUUGGGCGUGAGCUCGUCGAUGGCGUCGAGCAGCGCGUGGUUCUCGACCACUCGGCAGGCGCGGCCGCGGCCGAGCAGGUCGACCACGCGCUUGUAGCGCUUGUUGAGGUCGUUGAACUUGUCCUCGCACUGCUGCGGCGACACCACGAAGCCCUUGUCCAUCAUGGCGUGCGACACCGACUUCCACUUGCCCUUCUUCUGCUGCUGCGCCGCCGCCGCAUGACCGUGGCCGUGCCCCGACGAGCCCGCCCUGCUCGCCUUGCCUCCCCCCGCGCCGCCAGGCAUUGCCGCGCCCUCCCAGUCAUCCCCAACGCUGUAGACCACGCUGAUGAGCAGGCGCACCAUGUCGUCGGUCCACUUCAUCCUCGUCCACGGGCACCCCGCCGCCGCCAUCUGUUGCUGUUGCUGCUGCUGCACCACCACUCCUCCCUUCCCGCAGCAGCCGUUGCCCACCGUGUCUUCAUCGUGCCCCACCGUCGCCGCGCUCACCACGACCCUGGACGACGACGUGUUGGAGUAGGGCGAGAACGACGGCGGCGGGGGCGGCUGCUGCAGCUGGAACCCAUCGUGGUGGUGGUCCUGCUGGUGCUGGAACGCGGCGGCGGCCGGGUGCAUCUGCUGCGCGGCGAGGUGCAUGUCCAGCCCCAGCAUUGCCCCCGACCCAACCACGCCGCCCCGCGUCGCCAUCCCUCCUUCCCCGUCGCCUCUCCCCAUCGGCAAACCGCCAAUCUCUACCCAGCUCUAGAAACCACUUGGCACUCCCGCCCCCGAAAUCGGCAGCAAGGUGGGUGUUUUUAUUGGAGGGGAGCUGUGUGGGCGAUCGCCGCG
rnacentral:misc_RNA from 1 species